AAGAUGAGAUCAAGAAGGUGGAGAAUUAGAGGUCUGCUCUCACAGAAGCUGCGAAUUUGUCAGGGUGGGAUCAAGGAAAUGUUGCAAUUGGGCAUGAGGCGGAACUUAUAAAGGAAAUCGGUGAAGAAGUGUUGACAAUA